rnacentral:rRNA from 1 species
AAAAGACUUAGUCCUAACCUUACUGUUAGUUUUUGCUAGGUAUAUACAUGCAAGUAUCCGCGCGCCAGUGUAGAUGCCCUGGACACCUUAAUCAGGUAGAUAGGAGCGGGUAUCAGGCUCACCAUAACCGUAGCCCAAGACGCCUCGCACUUGCCACGCCCCCACGGGUAUUCAGCAGUAGUUAAUAUUAAGCAAUGAGUGUAAACUUGACUUAGCCAUAGCAAAUUAGGGUUGGUAAAUCCUGUGCCAGCCACCGCGGUCAUACAGGAGACCCAAAUUAACAUUAUAACGGCGUAAAGAGUGGUCACAUGCUAUCCAAGUAACUAAGAUUAAAAAGCAACUGAGCUGUCACAAGCCCAAGAUGCCAAUAAGGCCUCCUUAUCAAAGAAGAUCUUAGAACAACGAUUAAUUGAACUCCACGAAAGCCAGGGCCCAAACUGGGAUUAGAUACCCCACUAUGCCUGGCCCUAAAUCUUGAUGCUUACACCUACUAAAGCAUCCGCCCGAGAACUACGAGCACCAACGCUUAAAACUCUAAGGACUGGUG